AGAGGCUGUUAGGAGGACAGUAGCAAUCAGAAGUCACAGGUGGAUGGAUUCAUAAUGGUGAAGAAAAUCAGCCCUUCAAACAUCUGAGUGCAGGUUAGCACCAUGAUCUAAGAGACUUACUCAGAGUACUGAGAAAGUAACCAACUUCCCCUGCAUCACAUGGCCAGUAUCACAGAUACAAAUGAGGAUGAAUACCAACCAAAUGCCAGAUAUUUUAAAGCUUUAAAAAAAAUAGCAACUCACAUACCAAAUUAUGUUCUGGAUCACUGCAAAAGAAAUUACCUCUACUAACAAAUCACAAGGUGAUGGAAGACAGGAGCUUUUCUCCCUCAUUAAGAGUUU